GAGUGUCAGAACAAAAUAGAAAAAAAAAAAAAAAGACUACACUAAGUUACGGAGGGUGCUCAUAUUAACCAAAGUCAGAUAUCAUAUGGUGACCCCAUUUCGGUUAUAGCCAUUUCUUGCAGCUUUCUGAUUCUUCCAACACCUCCACCAGUCAUUGCUUUUCCUGUUAUGUGCAACUAGUUUGUGAAUUCAUUUUGUGUUCCCAAGCUGGAUUUGCUUGAGGGGGCUUGUGAUUUUCUGCACAUUCAACCAAGUUGAAGUAAAAGGUUCAUAUGGGAGGGUCAAUCAGCUUAGAUGCUCUAUGGUUUUGGGCAUGAGAAGAAAGAACAGGAGAGGUGUCACAAUUCAAAUUAAUUUCCUCAUUCAUAUUCAGGAGAUUAAGCCACCGACUCUUCUUUAAUGCAUUUUCUUUCUGUUAUCAGUGAAAAAUUUGAUGACUUUUAUGUUGUGUACUUAACCUGUAACUGGAUUCCAUGGUUUACGUUAUCAAUUUUCUUCUUGGUUCAUUUGUA